GGGUGCUCAAGGCCACACGGGAGGCCAGCAGCAGAGAUGACACCACGACCCACUCCCCUCACCUCCCCAUUGGCACUGUGGGAGUGGCUGGGGCUGCCCACUGAAUGUGUCCACAUGGAGAGGCACCUGCAAGUCAGGCUACCGCUCCCAUUGUUUGGAAAACCAAACUGGUCCUGGCAGUGGAUUUGCCCCUGGGUUUGUUCCUACCAAUCCUUAAAUUCCAGGAAGCUGCCUUUACCCAGGAUGGAUUUAGCAGAGACAUGGAGUGGAUCACAGGACUGGCAAGCAUUUCCUCUGGAGCCAUGACUGCAUUUAGGAAGGAUGUUGACAGCAGUGUUCAGGGUCAAGCUGCAAAGACGGAAGGGAUGAAAGGAGAGUCCGGAGGCCUUGUUGCAAAUAGUCACCUGGGAGGCCAGACUCUAAGGUCUGCCAGACCAGAAGAACGGAACUCACCUGGAUCACUACCAAUCAGAGACCUCCACCUGGCAGCUCCACCUGGUUUUGGAUGGUUUCUCAGACCUUCGAAAUUAGGUGCCAGGAUCCAGGCCAAAGGACCGCCACCACCCUUCAGGCUGUGCCACACCCAAAGCAGAGAGAACGCAGCAAGGGUAGGACCAUGGGAUGACUCUAUCCUCUGCCCCCAGCAGUCGCAUCGCUUCCGUCCACAUCCCCAUUUCACUGACCGGUCAAGUUCAUGUCCUGGCUCCAUUCGCACAUGGAAGCCUCGUCUCUCCACAGCAUGGGGAACUGCCAGUUCCCAGCGAGACCCUCAUGCAAAAUGAGUCUCUUUCCAGGUGGAGCCAGUAACAGGAAGACAAUCCAGCACCUCCCACUCGAGGCAGGGUCUUCCCUGAAUCCAUCAGGACAUGCAGAUGGGUGGGAAACCAGAGGCAAAGAACAGAACCAUAGAGGAUGCAUCGCGAGCUUUGCAGUCCACUCAAGACAUAUACCCAGUCUGAUGGUCAAGGGCAAGGGAGAUAUUAACACUGGGCAAAUCGGUGGCCCCUGCAGAGCUGCCCUAUAAACUUGAAUGGAGCGAAGGUCCUGGAAGGAGAGAAAGGAUACUGGGGUCAGGCGGACAAAGGCGUCUUUCCUUGGAGGAAAUGGUCGAACAGCCAUCAGGCAAGCUCCUCCGGAUCUGCGCGUUCGCAUCGUCCCUUUGUUCUGGUUACUCCUCCUUUGGCCGAGUGUGUGCCAGCUUCCUUUCUCCCUCUUCACUCUGGGUUUUCCCUUCUAUUUCUGUGCUGUUAAAAUUACCCAAGACUUCCUGCACUGUUCGCUGACCCAUAUCCUUUUAGGAAAAUGAUGGCAUCUUUUUCUUUUGUGAGCCAAACUUGUAACAGAGGAAAAGGCAUUUCUCACCUGAUUUUACCCAGAAAGAAACUGGCAGCCCACACUUAUGAAGUGGCUCAGUCAUCUUGUCGCAUCAGGAGAGUGUCCCCAGGGCUCAGCACACCUUCUGCCCUCAGCAAAUGUCCUUGCCCACCAGGUAUGACAUUCAGCUGGCUAUGGCCAGGGUCUAACUCAAGAUGUCGCAGGUCCCAGUUCUCACUAUGGUUGGGGUCCCCCAGUACCGGCCCCUGUUCCCUACCCUAGUCCUGCCACCAUGGGAAGCCAGAACAGGCACUGCACUGAAUGACUGAGUCCAAAUCGUUCUCCACUUCCUAAUUCCAACAGUUAGGGAAAAGAUCCAACAUCAAAUUCUCUACAACCCUGGCCACUGUCACACCUUGUGCCACAUUUGACCUGGCUCAGGAGACUCCUUGGGCCAGAUUCAGCAAAACAAGCUUCCAAGGUGCAGACAUGCAAGGUAGCUGCUUAUGCAGGCAAGUGAGCUUUUGCUGGUGUGGCCUCCUGAAAGCGUUGACAAUUUCAUCUCUCUGCGCUCACAUCGGGGAAGUCUUCUAUAUUACCAAGAUAAUACUGCAUUAAGCGAGAUUUUGUAUUUGGUGUAUUUAAUGAGCAAGCAACUCCCCAAAGACCUUUCAAUAAAGCCAGUAAAUUUAACAGGAGAAACGCGUCAAUUGGCUUUGCUGCUCUGGUUAAGAGGGCUGCCGCUUUCUGCUUUUACAGACCCUGGCG
rnacentral:lncRNA from 1 species